CAGAUGAAGUUUCUGAGGAUCCAAGACCGGUGCCAAGAAAGUCAAGCAAGAAAUAUGGUUAUUUGUAUGGGAAAGGAAAAGGCUACCGCAAAUACUGUAAAGGACUCUACCGGAAAAAAACCUAGGAAAAGUUACAGUAAAGGCUACCGUAAAUAUCGUGUCCGAAAGGGUUACUACCCCAAAAAAGGAAAGGGAUACGGCUACCGCUACGCCUACCGCUACCCAUACUACUCCAGAGGUCAUUAAAAUGGUUAGGCGAAAAUGAUUAGACUGGACCAAGACUCACGCAAGAUUAAGAAAGUUGCUUUAGAGUCAUAGCUGAAAGUGUAGCUUUAA